UAGCUAGUUGGUGGGGUAAAGGCUUACCAAGGCGAUGAUCGGUAGCUGGUCUGAGAGGAUGACCAGCCACACUGGGACUGAGAAACGGCCCAGACUCCUACGGGAGGCAGCGGUGGGGAAUAUCGGACAAUGGGGGAAACCCUGAUCCAGCAAUGCCGCGUGUGUGAAGAAGGCCUGAGGGUUGUAAAGCACUUUCAGUGGGGAGGAGGAUUAUUAGGUUAAGAGCUGAAUAAUUGGACGUUACCCACAGAAGAAGCACCGGCUAACUCCGUGCCAGCAGCCGCGGUAAUACGGAGGGUGCGAGCGUUAAUCGGAAUUACUGGGCGUAAAGGGUGCGUAGGUGGUGAUAUAAGUUAUCUGUGAAAUCCCUGGGCAUAACCUAGGAAGGUCAGAUAGUACUGUAUAACUAGAGUAUGGGAGAGGGUAGUGGAAUUUCCGGAGUAGCGGUGAAAUGCGUAGAUAUCGGAAGGAACACCAGUGGCGAAGGCGGCUACCUGGCCUAAUACUGACACUGAGGCACGAAAGCAUGGGGAGCAAACAGGAUUAGAUACCCUGGUAGUCCAUGCCGUAAACGAUGUCAACUAGCUGUUGGCCUAUAAAGAGGUUAGUAGCGA
rnacentral:rRNA from 1 species